rnacentral:tRNA from 1 species
GGGAUUGUGGCUCAGUGGUAGAGUGCUUGCCUAGCAUAUAUGAGGCACUGGGUUCAAUUCUCAGCACCA